CCCAGCCCGCGAACCUCACUGCUCUUUCCCUCCAGGUACCCUGAAAUCCCUAAAUCCCCCACCACGAGCAGCCACUCGCGCCGCCCCAACAGCGCGACGCUCACUGUUCUCUCCGGCCGGCCGCUGCACCGCGCCGUCGUCCUCCAAAACUCCCGCCGCCCCACACCGCCGAUCCCCCACGAGCUCGAACCCUCUCCUCAACCAAGGUGCUCCAUCCCCACCCUGUCACCAAGAACUCCGGCCUCGUCGUCGUCCUAGGCACCGGGUAGAUCCAGGUGAAGACCAGGCUCAACCGGUGUCAAAAGCUCCUAUCGGUUGUGGCGGGGUGCUGCUCCACGCCAUCUAGCUUCUCCACCGCCGCCCCCGCGUCAUCCUGCCUCUCCACCAGUGCCCCCACACCGGCCUGCUCCCCCGCCGUCGCCGCCCACUCCCUGCUGCCGGUGCCGGCGAUUUCCCACGGUGAGAUCGGAACACAUCAGCACCGGCAGGUUCUUCUUCAGAAGGCAGACGUCUAGCGUUCAUCUUCAAGAGACCGCAUCCAUUUGAUGUGCAACCACAAUCUAAAAACUACACCGUGGGCGUUUAUCUUCAAGUCAUUAUCCAUCUAACGUGCUUGUUGCAACCGCUUCAGUGAGUUUCUGCACCCCAUGUAUCGAGGCCCUCCUUAUGUGGGGAUGCAAUUAAUGUAUACAAUCCCUUUUCACAUUUUGGAUUUUCCUUAAACACAGAUCAUGCAUGUUGAUUGCUGAAGUAGAUUACUUUAGUAUUGCAAGAGUUUUCACCUACAUGUGACAUCUGAACUAGCAGUUUUGUCUAGUACAGUCUCUCUUUUAAAGCUUUGAAAUUUCCAUUGCAGCCAUCAAAGUCUGUUCACCCUACGAUUUAACUUCUAGAUAUUACUCAUGGUAAUCAUAGUCCAAUUAAUUAUGUUGUUCAUGACCAUGUCCUGCUAGUGCGGCACAGUUUGAUUCCUUCCUAGGCUAGUGUCUUGCUUACAUGCUUGAUUGAGUUAAGUGUACAAUAAAGAAAGGGGGCCUAUUUCUUGUCACUUUCAGUGAAAUUUAUCAGGUAAUUUGGUUAUCCUUUAAUAAAGUUCCUUGAUAUUCACUAGCUAUUUCUGCUGCUCCUCCUCCUGUGUAGACCAUGCAAUAUAUAUAAAUUAUGGCAUAUAUGUCAUUCAAGGCCAUUUGCUGUUAAUAUCAUGGCAUACUAAUCUCAGGUGUUAAUCUGAAACUACCACAGUAAAUUGUACGGCUGGUAUGUCUGAAAGUUCAUCCAAGAAAUAAGCAAAGAGAAAAUUGGGUUACAUUUUCCUACAGUCUUCUAAUUACUACUGUCCAAGUGCUGCGGUUGCAUUCCUUGCAUUAUGUUCCCCUUUCUCCUUGAGUAAAAGGGUUGUGGAUAAGAAGAACUGUCAAAGUUUCUGUAGUCGCUCUACUGUAUUCCUAUAUUUUUUCCAUCUGUACAAAAAACAAAAGCGCCAAAUAUAUUCUUACCUCUGCCAUGUCAGGGGCACUUAGACAAGAAAGUAGAUGGUUCGGAUAUGAAGGUAUAAAAAUAUAGCAGAUCUGAAUAUCAACAAAAAAAUGCAGAAUUUAAUUAGUUCCUGGAGCAUAUAACUAAAUGAUCAUAGAUCAUGCAGGUCCAUAACAUGGAAAUGCUCUUAGAAAGGUGGUUUACAUGGAUGUUGUCGUCUAUUUGUCUAACCAAAGUAUGGCGAAUGUUACUACAAUGUAGUAGUUACACUGUCGUUCACUUAUAGUAGGAUAUUCAAGUGAUUAUUUUUCGCUGUUGUUUUUGUGUAAAAAAAAAUAGGGUACAAUCUGGAAUAUUAGUAUAUUGGUUCCAGCCUACUUGCUGCAAAUGCCUGAUUUUGAUGGAUUUUGUUCAUGGCUUUGAUUAUACAAUCUGAAAUUUUACCCUUUUGGGACGAAUUCAACAGAGUAUAUAGUCCAAUACUAAUGAUCUCAAUUAUCAUGGUGUAUUCAGGUCAAACCUAAAUAGUAGUCUGCGUCCGCCUACCUUGGCAGGGAUACCAGGUUAAUCUACUUUGGUGUUGUAGCCUCUUUUCUUCUUACUCUUAUUUUUUAGGAGCUAAGAGAUACUUUUGGGCAUUCAAAAAGAGUCACAUCUAUAAUUAGCUAUCAGGUAGCUAUAUCCAGUGUGAACUACUAGAAAACUGUACAUCUACUGAAAGAGUCACAUUUAUAUUUAUUUAGCUUCCGGCUCAUUUUAUCCACUAUCUAUAAAGUUUUUUUUUGAAACAAGUGUUGGAAUUUUGGUUGCUAGUACCUAUGUACAGUAACUUGAGUAUAUCCCCAGCAUACUAUAUUAUCAGCAAUCAUACAAAGUAAACGAUGCAUUUCGACACUACUAGGAAAAGGGCUAUAGAUAAUAUUAACACUAAUGGCGCACCACAGAUGUGGUGCGCCACUACUAUAUACUAAUGGCGCACCAUGU